AUUGAACGCUGGCGGCAUGCCUUACACAUGCAAGUCGAACGGCAGCACGGAGCUUGCUCUGGUGGCGAGUGGCGAACGGGUGAGUAAUAUAUCGGAACGUACCCUAGAGUGGGGGAUAACGUAGCGAAAGUUACGCUAAUACCGCAUACGAUCUAAGGAUGAAAGUGGGGGAUCGCAAGACCUCAUGCUCGUGGAGCGGCCGAUAUCUGAUUAGCUAGUUGGUAGGGUAAAAGCCUACCAAGGCAUCGAUCAGUAGCUGGUCUGAGAGGACGACCAGCCACACUGGAACUGAGACACGGUCCAGACUCCUACGGGAGGCAGCAGUGGGGAAUUUUGGACAAUGGGCGAAAGCCUGAUCCAGCAAUGCCGCGUGAGUGAAGAAGGCCUUCGGGUUGUAAAGCUCUUUUGUCAGGGAAGAAACGGUGAGAGCUAAUAUCUCUUGCUAAUGACGGUACCUGAAGAAUAAGCACCGGCUAACUACGUGCCAGCAGCCGCGGUAAUACGUAGGGUGCAAGCGUUAAUCGGAAUUACUGGGCGUAAAGCGUGCGCAGGCGGUUUUGUAAGUCUGAUGUGAAAUCCCCGGGCUCAACCUGGGAAUUGCAUUGGAGACUGCAAGGCUAGAAUCUGGCAGAGGGGGGUAGAAUUCCACGUGUAGCAGUGAAAUGCGUAGAUAUGUGGAGGAACACCGAUGGCGAAGGCAGCCCCCUGGGUCAAGAUUGACGCUCAUGCACGAAAGCGUGGGGAGCAAACAGGAUUAGAUACCCUGGUAGUCCACGCCCUAAACGAUGUCUACUAGUUGUCGGGUCUUAAUUGACUUGGUAACGCAGCUAACGCGUGAAGUAGACCGCCUGGGGAGUACGGUCGCAAGAUUAAAACUCAAAGGAAUUGACGGGGACCCGCACAAGCGGUGGAUGAUGUGGAUUAAUUCGAUGCAACGCGAAAAACCUUACCUACCCUUGACAUGGCUGGAAUCCUCGAGAGAUUGAGGAGUGCUCGAAAGAGAACCAGUACACAGGUGCUGCAUGGCUGUCGUCAGCUCGUGUCGUGAGAUGUUGGGUUAAGUCCCGCAACGAGCGCAACCCUUGUCAUUAGUUGCUACGAAAGGGCACUCUAAUGAGACUGCCGGUGACAAACCGGAGGAAGGUGGGGAUGACGUCAAGUCCUCAUGGCCCUUAUGGGUAGGGCUUCACACGUCAUACAAUGGUACAUACAGAGCGCCGCCAACCCGCGAGGGGGAGCUAAUCGCAGAAAGUGUAUCGUAGUCCGGAUUGUAGUCUGCAACUCGACUG
rnacentral:rRNA from 1 species